rnacentral:rRNA from 1 species
UACGUAGGGUGCGAGCGUUGUCCGGAAUUAUUGGGCGUAAAGGGCUCGUAGGCGGUCUGUUGCGUCAGGAGUGAAAACUCGGGGCUUAACCCCGAGCCUGCUUCUGAUACGGGCAGGCUAGAGUUCGGCAGGGGAGACUGGAAUUCCUGGUGUAGCGGUGAAAUGCGCAGAUAUCAGGAAGAACACCCGUGGCGAAGGCGGCUCUCUGGGACGGUACUGACGGCUGAGACGCGAAAGCGUGGGGAGCGAACAGG